rnacentral:lncRNA from 1 species
AAAUCCUUUGCCCAAGCCAGCAUUGGACAACAUACACCGUACCUUCUCCAGCAAGGUUUGGUUCAUGCGUUCUGCCACUCCAUUCUGUUGUGGUGUAUUUCUGACAGUGAAGUGUCGGACGAUGCCAUAAUCUUCACAGACCUUGUUGAAAUGAUCAUUUUUGUAUUCACCUCCAUUGUAUGUGUGAAUACACUUGAUCCUCCUGCCUGUUUGAUUCUCUACCAUCGUCUUCCAUUUGAAAAAAGUUCCCAACACUUCAUCUUUGCUCUUCAUUGUAUACACCCAUACUCUUCGGGAAAAAUCAUCAACAAAGGUUUUUUGUAUUCACCUCCAUUGUCUGUGUGAAUACACGUGAUCCUCCUGCCUGUUUGAUUCUCCACCAUCGUCUUCCAUUUGAGAAAAAUUCCUAGCACUUCAUCUUUGCUCUUCAUUGUAUACACCCAUACUCUUUGGGAAAAAUCAUCAACAAAGGUUACAAAAUAGUACUUCUUACCUAAUGAAGGUGUUUUGGAAGGACCCCAAACAUCAGAGUGUGCAUAAUCCAAAAUGCCUUUCGUAUUAUGGAUCGCUGUACCAAAUUUAACUCUUGUCUGUUUUCCUUUGACACAAUGCUCGCAAAACUUCAAGUUGCAAGUCUUUACUCCUUUCAACAAUCCUUGAUCUGAUAGAGUCUUCAAGAAUUUUCCUCCAGCGUGUCCCAAGCGCAUGUGCAUAGCCUGGUUGUUUUUGCCUCUUUGUCGUCACUGGACGUCACUGUCGUUGUCCCAAUAACCGUACUACCACGAUAGCGGUACAUGUUAUUGUUCUUCCGAUUUUCCUUCAUUACCACUAGUGCACCAGAGUAUACUCUCAUCACUCUAUUUUCUGCAAUGAAUUUGAACCCUUUUGAUUCUAGGGCUCCCACAGAGAUGAGAUUCUUCUUUAAAUCCGGUACAUAUCGAACAUCUGCUAAUGCUCUAAUCAUUCCA